rnacentral:rRNA from 1 species
AUACGUAGGUGGCAAGCGUUGUCCGGAAUUAUUGGGCGUAAAGCGCGCGCAGGUGGUUCCUUAAGUCUGAUGUGAAAGCCCCCGGCUCGACCGGGGAGGGUCAUUGGAAACUGGGGAACUUGAGUGCAGAAGAGGAUAGUGGAAUUCCAAGUGUAGCGGUGAAAUGCGUAGAGAUUUGGAGGAACACCAGUGGCGAAGGCGACUGUCUGGUCUGUAACUGACACUGAGGCGCGAAAGCGUGGGGAGCGAACAGGAUUAGAUACCCUCGUAGUCCACGCCGUAAACGAUGAGUGCUAAGUGUUGGGGGGUUUCCGCCCCUCAGUGCUGCAGCUAACGCAUUAAGCACUCCGCCUGGGGAGUACGGUCGCAAGACUGAAACUCAAAUGAAUUGACGGGG